rnacentral:lncRNA from 1 species
GGCAGCCAGACAGUUUUGCUUGGAUCUCUGGGGCGGCCACGUGGCCAUAUGUUCAGCGCUCCAACAUGCCUGUGCCCUGAGCCAGCCAGAAAGUGACUUAGGGCUGAAAACAGGAUUUUUGAGCAGCUUCUGCUCUGGGGAGGCCCCUCAGUAUAAACAGGGAGAAUUUCUGGGCUGUGUGCACAAGGCCAGACUGCUGGGAAAGG